rnacentral:tRNA from 1 species
GGAGAGAUGGCUAAGUUUUUAGUAGCUCUGGUCUUGAAAACCGGUACGGUUCUAGGAACUAUCGAGGAUUUGAAUCCCUCUCUCCCCU